rnacentral:tRNA from 1 species
GCCUGAGGGGCUCAGUCAGUUAAGCAUCUGAUUUUGGUUCAGGUCAUGAUCUCAUGGUUCAUGGGUUCAAGCCCCACCUCUGGCU